rnacentral:rRNA from 1 species
UACGUAGGGUGCGAGCGUUGUCCGGAAUUAUUGGGCGUAAAGAGCUCGUAGGCGGCUUGUCGCGUCGGAUGUGAAAACCCGGGGCUUAACCCCUGGCUUGCAGUGGAUACGGACAGACUAGAGGUAGGUAGGGGAGAAUGGAAUUCCCGGUGUAGCGGUGAAAUGCGCAGAUAUCGGGAGGAACACCGGUGGCGAAGGCGGUUCUCUGGGCCUUACCUGACGCUGAGGAGCGAAAGCGUGGGGAGCGAACAGG